AAUGAACGCUAGCGGCAGGCUUAAUACAUGCAAGUCGAGGGACAGCACAGGUAGCAGUACUGGGUGGUAACCGGCAAACGGGUGCGGAACACGUACACAACCUUCCUUUAAGUGGGGGAUAGCCCAGAGAAAUUUGGAUUAAUACCCCGUAAUAUAGUUGAAUGGCAUCAUUUGAUUAUUAUAGCUACGGCGCUUAAUGAUGGGUGUGCGGCUGAUUAGAUAGUUGGCGGGGUAACGGCCCACCAAGUCUACGAUCAGUAGCUGAUGUGAGAGCAGGAUCAGCCACACGGGCACUGAGACACGGGCCCGACUCCUACGGGAGGCAGCAGUAAGGAAUAUUGGUCAAUGGACGCAAGUCUGAACCAGCCAUGCCGCGUGAAGGAUUAAGGUCCUCUGGAUUGUAAACUUCUUUUAUUUGGGACGAAAAAGGGCCUUUCUAGGUCAACUGACGGUACCAGAUGAAUAAGCACCGGCUAACUCCGUGCCAGCCGCCGCCGUAAAAC
rnacentral:rRNA from 1 species